AGUGAACGCUGGCGGUAGGCCUAACACAUGCAAGUCGAACGGCAGCACAGUAAGAGCUUGCUCUUACGGGUGGCGAGUGGCGGACGGGUGAGGAAUACAUCGGAAUCUACUUUUUCGUGGGGGAUAACGUAGGGAAACUUACGCUAAUACCGCAUACGACCUACGGGUGAAAGCAGGGGAUCUUCGGACCUUGCGCGAUUGAAUGAGCCGAUGUCGGAUUAGCUAGUUGGCGGGGUAAAGGCCCACCAAGGCGACGAUCCGUAGCUGGUCUGAGAGGAUGGUCAGCCACACUGGAACUGAGACACGGUCCAGACUCCUACGGGAGGCAGCAGUGGGGAAUAUUGGACAAAGGGCGCAAGCCUGAUCCAGCCAUACCGCGUGGGUGAAGAAGGCCUUCGGGUUGUAAAGCCCUUUUGUUGGGAAAGAAAAGCAGCAGGUUAAUACCCCGCUCUUCUGACGGUACCCAAAGAAUAAGCACCGGCUAACUUCGUG
rnacentral:rRNA from 1 species